GGGAACAAGACCCUUUCCUAGAGGAUUUCAAGAGCCCAGCUCAGAUUUGGGGCUUAUGUCUCUGAUGCUUACGUCUCUGAUGCUCUUGGAACCAGGCCAAGAAGACGUGGUCAUUUCUACCUCUUACCACCAGAGGGCAGCGCUUCACCACAGAGACCCUUGAGCCGCCAAACACCUCACCGUGUGCGUGGAGAAUCCUCCCCAAGGCCUGGACGCAGUUCUUCCUAUUCCGUUUCCCCGAGGUUUGGCCUAGGAUCUUGGACAGCACUUUAUAAUUACAGACAUUCUGCCUGCUUAGGCCUCUCACCCCAGUCUGUGCCCCCGCAGGUGUUCAGACAUUUCUGUUGCCUGAUGAGGAGAAAAUGGGCUGAGGGAAGGGGGCGGAGGAACAGCGCCAUCGGCCGGGCAGGACCCAGGCUGGAUUCACUCCCGUCGCCCCUGCGAAUUGGGCGUGAGCAUUUGAUACAAAGGACGGGGAAGGAAAGCGACCCAAGACUUCUCUCCUGAGCCUUUCAGCUUCCUGCUCUGUGGACCAGUUACUCUCCAGGCCAAUGGAGAAUCCCCUUUGCCACCAGCCUGGGCAUUCCCUUCACCUCUCUCCUGUGUUGGAGCUGUUCCUUCCUGGCGUUCGUGCGCUCUCUCUCUCCUGGUGUGGUGGAGCAUAUUGUCGAGUAGCUUCUUAAGACACGAUACUUGGAACAUCCUUGACUCUCUGGGGAUAUUAAUUAUUGCUUUAAGCCAUUUACUGAGCACCUACUAGUUGGCUUUCCAUACUCAUUGAGAAUACCAAGAAGAAUAAGCUCAUUUCUUAUGCUGAAGAGGAGACAGACAUGCAAAUCAAGAAGUGGACACAUUACAAAAUGACCCAGGAGACACUGAGGGCCUCUGCUCCAUCCUUGCCAAUUCUGAGAAUAGUGCAGCCACAAGGAGGAUUGUUCUGAGGCUUCUCACAGGGCACAAAACCCCCACGCACUGUCCUCUGGCCACCUACAGCCUCUCUGACUCUGCACUGCCUCUGACCCUGCACUGCCUGCUUGAGCAAAGCAGUCUUUGAAAACCAUUUCCAGCCUGGCUAAUGAUGCAGUGCUUUGAAAAGUGCCACCAGGAUGAAAAACAGCUCACAAAUGGGGACUCCUCGUUAUUUUACCAGCACAGCCGGCAAGAAGCUCCUGCCAAGCAAGAUCAAACUUCUCAGGAAUGUUUUGAAAAGCUGGUGGAAACAAGGGCCUCUGUCACAUUUCUGUCACACCUCACCCCAGCAUGUGGGGAAAGCUCUCUUGGAACGAAUGUUAGUCGGUCUCAGAAACACACAAAAUUGAUGUCUCCAGCAGCAUUGCCAUUUCCACUGCAGACUUAAAGCUAUAUCUUUCUGGAUUCUAAUGCAGAAAGGGAACAGUUAGAGAAUCCAUCCAGGCUUUUUCUAAAAUGAGAGCCGGUUAAAGAUGCUGUUUAAAAAGGUGCCUCUCAAAGCUUCCCUCCUGACCUUCCAUACCAAAAGCCUGAGCUUAAUUACCUACAUAAUUUUCCUGGCUCCUGUGCUGUGGUCCAGGGGCCCUCUCUGUCCACCGGAAGCUAAGCCAUCUGUCGGACAUCUCUCUCUGGACUCCCCAGGGUUCCCUCUCACCUACACAUCUCGAUUAGCAGAUGACAGUUCUGCUAUAAUGUUUAUUUUACCUCUAACAGAUUUUCAGCUAAGUAGGUGAAGGGGCGGAGGUUCCCUGCCCAGAGCCAGUUCUGGGCUUCCUUUGGCUCCUCCUUCCAGUCUGCUAGGAAAAGGAACCUGGAGGCCUUUAGGAGGGAGGAGAGAUCACAUUUUCUUUGCCAUUGAGUAGUGAAGGUCAGGCCCUCCUUGCCAGCCACAAAGCAGAGAAUUGUUUGUUUAUUUCUCCGAGUAGCACUGUUCUGUCUCUGUGAGCAGCAGACAAAACCAGAAAAGGGAAUUCAUUCUGUGGAGCAGACCAAAGGCAGGGGGAAAACUUGUCCUUUGGAAAGAUAAAAGCAAAUUCAAUGAAGUGAUCAUCUUAAAUCUUCUAGUUAUUCUUCCCCUCCACCACCUUUCACCCCCAAUCUGAGUUUUCCUGGGAUUUAGGUAAGAACCCAUGAGAGAAAUGAGAUAUGGCAGAUAGAGAUGAGAGCAGCAAUAGGAACUUGGGGUGGAAAGGUGUGCAUUCAUCUAUAGAUCACUCAGCCAAAUAAGCCACUUAGAGAGUCCAGGCCCACAUUAAUUCCUUUGAUGACUCAGUGACGAGCAGAAUGCAUUUGCAAUACAGUAAGGCCAGAAACCUGGAAGAAGCAUCCUCCAUUCCUCCCUCUCUCUUAUCCUCCACACCUAAGCCAUGAUCAAUCUUACAGAGUCUGACUCCUAAAUAUCUGUCAAACUCACGCUCUUCUCUCCAUUUCCAUGGCUACUGCUGUAAUUCAGCACCAUCGAUUCCUGCCCAAAUGAUUGACACAGCUUUCUAAUUAGGCUGUUUGCCCCUUCCAAUCUACUCCCCACAUAGCACCCAGAGAAACCUUUCACAGGUGCAAAUCUUAUGCCAUUUUCUGGAUAAAACCCUUCAAGAUCUUAUUUCCUCCUCUCUUCUCCAGGCCCUAGUUUUAUGCUGAAAGCCCCAAGUCCUGCAUAAUUUGGUUCCUGCUUAUUUCUCCAGCCUUAACCCUUACAGCUUCCUGCUUCAAACAGUAGGCUCUAGCAAACUUAGCUUUUCUUUUGCAAAAUAGACCAAAUGCUCUUUCACUUUUGUGCCAUCAUGCAUGCUGUUUUCUCUGCUUGGAACAAUCUUUUUGAUACUCCCAGCCUUCCUUAAUUAGCUAUUUCCUACCUGAACUUUAGGUCUCAACUAAAAUGUCACUUCCUCUAGAAAGACUUUACUAGCCCUCAAGGCAGUUGAGCUAGAAGUUUCCUCUGUGCUCCCAUAGCAACUUAUGGAUUCACACGGCCCAGUUGUAAGAGCCAAGAGAGCAAGAGCCACAGCUAUGAGGGCCACCAUUGUAUUCCUGGCCCUGGAGAAGAAAACAAAAUAGGCUCAAUAAAAAAUUUUAAAAUAAAUAAAU
rnacentral:lncRNA from 1 species